AAAUAAAAUAAAAUAAAAAAUACGAAACCAGGGAAAACCGGGGUUUGGCUGAGCCAAGCUCCGACAAAACCAAACCCCAGGACUGGUUUAGGAAAUGCUUUGAGCGGGGAAAUAAACCCAAAAUCGCGGUUUUUAACAAAGAAUUGUGUUCCUUUGAGAGGCAGCGCGGGGCGAGGGGUCCGUGCUGGAGUUGGGUUGGAAAGUCCAUUUUUUUUUUUAAUAAAAAAAAAAAUAAAAAAAAAAAAUUUAAAAAAAAUUAAAUAAAAAACUCUCUGUUCCGGUGGAAGGUCACAGUGGUCCUUUGAGCCUGAAAGUGAGAGACCCCCUUCCCCCCUUCCCCAUCACGUGAUUCAUUAAAUAAUUAAUGCAGAGCUUGCAGAACAGAUAUGGAUUCGUCAGGAAAAUCGCGGGCGCGCUCUCCCCGUGCCUGACGUGAAAUUCAACCGCCCUUUAAAAAGAGGGGGGAAAAAACCCAAAAAAAAAAGAUAAAAAGAGGGAAAAAAAGAUAAAGAGGAAAAAAAAAGAUAAAGAGGAAAAAAAAGAUAAAGAGAAAAAAAAAAGAUAAAGAGAAAAAAAAAAAAAGAUAAAGAGGAAAAAAAAAAAAAAACAAAAAAAAAGAAGAAAAAAAGGAGGAGGGGGGGAGAGAGAAAAGAGCGAGAGGGAAAAAGAAAGAGGGGGAGAGAGAGAGAGGAGGAGAGAGGGAGAGGAGUCUGCAAUAAAACAAUUCUCGGGGAGCGCCAAGCCACGCCGAGGGCUGGAUUAUUUGACGAAUCCUCAGCGCCCCGAGCCGGAUUUUUUCCUCCUUCUCCUUGGAGUUCUGGAGUCUCGCAGCGUUUCUCCUGUCCCAAAAUCCGCCCGGGGCCGGGAUUUGCUGGAGCAGCCCUCGAAGAACCGGGUGAGUUUUGUCUGUCGUGUCCGUCUGUCCUUCCUCAGCCUUUCCCCCCUCUCCAAACCCCUCAGCCUCGCUCCCUUUGGAUCCUUUUCCCCCCCACACCUCUAAAAAUCAAAUUUAAAUUUAAAUUUUUCCUCCUCACCCCCCACAAAAAACGAGCAAAAGGCAGCUGCGGAUCCCGAGCCCCUUUUCCCUCCACGGCGAGCCUGGAAAUUCUGGGAUUUAUGGAAUAACUUUGGGAUCGGAAUUCCUGCUCUGCCUUUGAAGGAGGGAAAAAAAAAAAGAAAACCCUCCCCGCUCGCCACAUUUGCGGAGGAGAAAUGAGCUGCAGGCCGAGCAGAAAUGACAAUUCCUGGCAUAACUCCGCUCGCUCCCACACGGACCAGGGUUUUGGGUUUUUUUCCCCCAGCUGGUUGAGGUUAAAAUGAGAAUUUUUUGCGCUCCAGAGGAGGCACUCGCGGAAUUCCAGGCGCUUCUGGGUGUCCAAGAGCUCCGGAUGAGCGAGAGGAGCUCCGGGGAUCCCCAGGGGAGCUGUCCCAGAGGGUUCUGAAGUUUUUAGGCGGUCCCAGAGGGUUCUGAAGAAGUUUUUAGGUGGUCCCAGAGGGUUCUGAAGAAGUUUUUAGGUGGUCCCAGAGGGUUCUGAAGUUUUUAGGUGGUCCCAGAGGGUUCUGAAGAAGUUUUUAGGUGGUCCCAGAGGGUUCUGAAGAAGUUCUUAGGUGGUCCCAGAGGGCUCUGAAGAAGUUUUUAGGUGGUCCCAGAGGGUUCUGAAGAAGUUUUUAGGUUAUCCAAGAUGUUUUAAAGAAGUUUUGAAGUUGUCUGAGAUAGUUUUAAAGAAGUUUUAAGUUAUCCGAGAUGGUUUUAAAGAAGUUUUAAGUCGUCUGAGAUGUUUUUCCGUGAGGGUUUUAAAGAAGUUUUUAGUCGAAGAUGGUUUUUAGGAAGUUUUGAAGUUGUCCCAGAGGGAUUUAAAGAAGUUUUGAAGUUAUCCCAGAUGGUUUUUAAGAAGUUUUGAGGUUGUCCAAGAUGGUUUUGAAGAAGUUUUCAGUUGUCUGAGAUGGUUUUUAAGAAGUUUUAAGUUGUCCAAGAUGAGUUUUAAGAAGUUUUGAGGUUGUCCGGGAUGGUUUUGAAGAAGUUUUUAAGUUAUUUGAGAUGGUUUUAGGAAGUUUUGAGGUUGUCCAAAAUGGUUUUUAAGAAGUUUUGAAGUUGUCCAAGGUGGUUUUGAAGAAGUUUUAGGUUGUCAAGAUGGUUUUUAGGAAGUUUUGACGUUGUCCAAGGUGGUUUUGAAGAAGUUUUUAAGUUAUUCGAGAUGGUUUUAGGAAGUUUUUAAGUUGUCCAAGAUGGUUUUGAAGAAGUUUUGAGGUUGUCCAAGAUGUUUUUACGAAGUUUUUAGGCUGUCCGAGAUGGUUUUUAGGAAGUUUUAAGUUGUCUGAGAUGAGUUUUAAGAAGUUUUUAAGUUGCUUGAGAUGGUUUUAAAGAAGUUUUAAGUUAUCAAGAUGGUUUUUAGGAAGUUUUGAAGUUCUUUGAGAUGGUUUUAAAGAAGUUUUCAGUUGUCUGAGAUGGUUUUGAAGAAGUUUUAAGUUGUCCACCAUGGUUUUUUUUUCCUCUUUCCCUUUUUCCCUGGGAAUUCCACGCCGGGGUUGCUGUCUCGUAGCAGGAGAUUGAUGUCGGAGCAGCUCAUAAAAAUGAGUUUUUUAUGAUUUUAUGAGGUUGUUUUUUUUCUUUUCCAGAUGAGAGGGGUGGGGGGGUGAAAAAAAAAAUCACAAUAAAAUGGUAAUUAUGGANNNNNNNNNNNNNNNN
ensembl:lncRNA